rnacentral:rRNA from 1 species
CCUACGGGGGGCAGCAGUGAGGAAUAUUGGUCAAUGGGCGAGAGCCGGAACCAGCCAAGUCGCGUGAGGGAGUACUGCCCUAUGGGUUGUAAACCUCUUUUGUCGGGGAGCAAAAGCCGGACGUGUCCGGCUGUGAGAGUACCCGAAGAAAAAGCAUCGGCUAACUCCGUGCCAGCAGCCGCGGUAAUACGGAGGAUGCGAGCGUUAUCCGGAUUUAUGGGGUUUAAAGGGUGCGCAGGAGGAUUUUUAAGUCAGCGGUCAAAUCGUGGGGCUCAACCCCAUCCAGCCGUUGAAACUGGGGAUCUAGAGUGUGCGAGAGGUAUGCGGAAUGCGUGGUGUAGCGGUGAAAUGCAUAGAUAUCACGCAGAACCCCGAUUGCGAAGGCAGCAUACCGGUGCACAACUGACGCUCAGGCACGAAAGCGUGGGUAUCGAACAGGAUUAGAUACCCUAGUAGUC